rnacentral:tRNA from 1 species
AGGAAGUAGUUUAUUUAAAAUAUUAAUUUUGGAGAUUAAAGAUAAAUGAUUAAUUUCUUUUUGAU